AUAUAUAUAUAUAUAUAAGAUAAGAAACUGAGCCAAUGGGAGCAGAAAAGAACCGUCAAGAGACUUGCGUAACAAGGAAAUGGAACUUCAUAAAGAUAGAAAAGGAUAUAAAAACAUCUAAAGCCUUGCAAAUGUCAGUCAGUGCUGUUCAAUUACUUAUUAAGAAGAGCGAAAUUCAGGGAUCUCUUGAUACCAAGCCAAGGUCCAGUAGACCAAGACCAAGAUUUCACAAACAUAAUUUUACGUCAAUGCAAACCCACACUCUGUCCUGUUAUAUAAACACUGUCUUUCUGACCUUGUACGACAUUGAGCUGUACGCACUGUCCCUAUAGUAUCUUUGUAUCUAUCCUCCUGAGUCCUGGAGAGUAGAGAACAGGAUCUCCUACCAGAUCAGCUUAAACUUAAACCAUGUUUUCUUUAUCUUUGUUGAUGCUGAAAGCUAGUGUUUGUGUUCAGGGUCAGACAUUGACUGAGUCUGAACCAGUGGUUACAAGCCUGGGGAAUUACACCAACUGACCUGUACAGGCUCUGGGUUCACAUUCAGUAGCUCCUGGAUGGGUUGUGAGAGAUUAUGGGCAUUGGAAACUUAACACGACGCAUAAGUGCUGACUAACUCUGAACAAAGGACAAUAGAUAGGACGUGAUGCUCGUUACUGAUGGGACCUACACAUCCUAUCCAUACAUCCUCUCCAUACCACCUGAUUGGAGUUGUCCAUGUGACUGCCAUAGGCUCUGUAAAUAAGCCCAUAGACCAUAGGUUGGAACAUACCAUAAAAUUAUAUUUUGUAGGAAAAACCUUUCUUAUUGGAAGAAAAUGGACAGUGUAACAGUUGGCUAUAACCACUGACUGCCUGGCAUAAACGACUGUGUUAACUUUGUAAUCAUUGGAGAACAUGUAAGAACUAUGGAAGAUCAACAUCUUGGACUCAUACAAAUAAAGAAAGUUCUCCCCUGGCUUCCAGUUGAAUUCAUUUUGUUCAUGGAUCAAAAGUGGACAGAAUUCAACAGUUGGAUCAAACAGGUUUCUGGAAAAGCACUUGAAUGGAUUGUUUAUAUACAUGGUACCACAGUUAACUUCUCCCCCUUCAGAUGAGCAGCCUAAAGAAUAAGGACACAGCC
ensembl:lncRNA